AUAAUGCUCCAGGAGCAAUAGGUCUGUAAAGUGAAACAAGGACUCAAUAUCCACAAUAUGUGUUUUGCAGACUCCAGGCCAGCAUCAGUUUGUUGCCACCUACUGAAUAUCCACUGGGACGUAUUAGGGGUUCUCCAAGAAGGCAUCUUCCAGCUUAGUUUCACUCAAAAGAAACUCACUUGUGUGCCCUGAAAAUGCUCUGCAACAGGAGGUCCAGUAAGUAGGCACAGAUAAGGAAAUUCACUGGGAAGGCACAGGACUAACUCCAUCAAGCAGGCACAGGAAGCCUGAACUCAAAACCAAAUGAGUUCUGUGAAACAGAGGCCCAUGAGCUGAAGCGUUAGAAAUCACUGCACGUUUCAUUACAAUGCUAUCAUCAGAUUUCUGGCAUUUAGGAAGCCAAAAACCUAUGAUGCUGUUGUGUUUUAUCUGUUACAACAGGUACACGAGGAGCUAUUGAGAAGUUGUUGAGCCAUGAAGCUCAGCCUGCCAGGCUCAAAUUCAAGCAGUGUGUAAUGUGAGCCAAGCUGAGGAACACAAACCUUCUAUGGCAGCAAUAAAUGAAGAAGAUCAUACUGCAAGAAGUGUGAUGUGGCCCACAUUUUCAAAAUACUGCCUAACUCACAAGGAUGCAAUGCCUCUGGUUGAACACAACCCUACAUAAAGACAAGAUACUUCAUGCUGCUGGGAACAAAGAGAACAAGCAACAUUUCAUGAGGCUCCAUCUUACCCUCUCAUCCAUUGGCACCUUGGUGACUUCAUCCUGGCUGUCCUCCGGCACUGGAACCCUAGCAACUGAGAGUCCGUU